rnacentral:misc_RNA from 1 species
GAUGAAGAACGUAGCGAAAUACGAUAAGUAGUGUGAAUUGCAGAAUUCAGUGAAUCAUCGAAUCUUUGAACGCACAUUGCGCCCUUUGGUAUUCCAAAGGGCAUGCCUGUUCGAGCGUCAUUUGUACCCUCAAGCUUUGCUUGGUGUUGGGCGUCUUGUCUCUAGCUUUGCUGGAGACUCGCCUUAAAGUAAUUGGCAGCCGGCCUACUGGUUUCGGAGCGCAGCACAAGUCGCACUCUCUAUCAGCAAAGGUCUAGCAUCCAUUAAGCCUUUUUUUCAACUUUUGACCUCGGAUCAGGUAGGGAUACCCGCUGAACUUAAGCAUAUCAAUAAGCGGAGGA